UGCUUUUGUAGCAAUACAGAAGUAUCCUAGUGGCGAACGGGUGAGUAACGCGUUGGUGACCUACCCCAAAGUGUGGGAUAACAGUCCGAAAGGAUUGCUAAUACCGCAUGUGGUUUUCGGAUUUAGAAACCGAUUUCUAAAGGAGCAAUUCGCUUUGGGAGGGACCUGCGUCCCAUCAGCUAGUUGGUGAGGUAAUGGCUCACCAAGGCUACGACGGGUAGGGGACCUGAGAGGGUGACCCCCCACAAUGGAACUGAAACACGGUCCAUACACCUACGGGUGGCAGCAGUAGGGAAUAUUGCACAAUGGGCGAAAGCCUGAUGCAGCAACGCCGCGUGUGCGAUGAAGGCCUUCGGGUCGUAAAGCACUUUUCUGAGAGAUGAGCAAGGACAGUAUCUCAGGAAUAAGUCUCGGCUAACUACGUGCCAGCAGCCGCGGUAAAACGUAGGAGGCGAGCGUUAUCCGGAUUCACUGGGCGUAAAGCGCGUGCAGGCGGUUCGGUAAGUUGGGCGUGAAAUCUCCUGGCUUAACUAGGAGAGGUCGUUCAAUACUACCGGGCUAGAGAGUGGUAGAGGAAGAUGGAAUUCCCGGUGUAGUGGUGAAAUGCGUAGAUAUCGGGAGGAACACCAGUGGCGAAAGCGAUCUUCUGGACCAUUUCUGACGCUCAGACGCGAAAGCUAGGGUAGUAAACGGGAUUAGAGACCCCGGUAAUCCUAGCCGUAAACGAUGUAAACUUGGUGUCGGUGGCUUUAACUCUAUCGGUACCGAAGCAAACGCGAUAAGUUUA
rnacentral:rRNA from 1 species